CUAGAUCAAUUUGAGGUCGGCGAAUUCGUAACACGUCUUUCGGUUGUUGAUCCUGCUGAAGGAUCAUUGUAGAGAUACUUGAUGAGGGGCCUGGGUGUCAUAAAGAGGCACGUGCACGCUCGAGCCAAUAAUUCAUCGGACACCUGAGCACUUAAUGUAGGUCGCCCUUAAACAAAGGUGACCUACGUCUUAUCAUCAACCCAUUGUAUGUCUCAUAGAAUGUAAUCGAUAUCCUCGCCCUGAAAAAGCGUUGAUAAACUUAUACAACUUUCAACAACGGAUCUCUUGGCUCUCGCAUCGAUGAAGAACGCAGCGAAAUGCGACAAGUAAUGUGAAUUGCAGAUUUUCAGUGAAUCAUCGAAUCUUUGAACGCACCUUGCGCUCCUUGGUAUUCCGAGGAGCAUGCCUGUUUGAGUGUCAUUAAAUUCUCAACUCCAAGGGUUUCACGACCUUUCGGAGAUUGGACUUGGAGGUGCUGGCCGCAUAUUGGUCGGCUCCUCUCAAAUGCAUCAGCGGAAUUCAACCUUUGGCUUCCGGAUGUCAGUGUGAUAAUCAUGUUGCGCUGUCGUUUGAUCCCUCAGAGUCCGCUUAUAAUGGUCUUCGGACAAAAUCAUCAUCAAAUUUGACCUCAAAUCAGGUAGGACUACCCGCUGAACUUAAGCAUAUCAAUAAGCGGAGAA
rnacentral:rRNA from 1 species